UGCAUCAUCUGUGUCUGAUUUCACUGCAGAGGGACUGCUUCCUGGGACCUUGUUCUCCUCAGCAUCACCUCAGCUAUGCUGUUUUCAGGGAAAAGUUGUCAGGAUAAUUCCUGAAAGGAUCAGAUUCCUGCCUGUUUGGUCUGUGCAGUCAGCUGUAGCAGAACAGCAAACUUCAGCAGCAACAUACUGACAAGAGCAUGAAGUUCUGCUAAAAGUUUUGUCUGAAAGUGUGAUGCCAUGCCUUCCUCUCACCAGUGAGGGAGUCCUCACAGUGCCUUCGAGGCAAGGAUGUGUCAUCUGUGUAAAAAAAGCAGAGCAAGGCUGCCAAGCACAGCUGCUUCUAAUGGCACCUGAACCACAUCUCAGGAGAUGAUAGAUAGAUUCAAUACGGAGCUCUUGAUGCUUAGGGUACAAUUUUGAACGCAGACUUAAUGCUUUUGUCAAGAAAGGAGGUAGAGAAGUGGCUUCAUUGCUUACACAGAGAUGGCUGUCCCUAUCAAACUUUAAGGUGAAAUUCACAAAGGACUCGAGUCACUACGAUGCAAAGGCAUGCUGAACUGCUCUGAUGCUUUAGAGUUUUGUCCCACAGUUGCUGCUACUGAAUUGAGACCACUGCUGAUAGAUAUAAUAGAGAAUGAGAAUGUGUGGACAGGCUUGGAAUUAAAGCUGAUCUUGGCAAGAUGGUGAGUACUAGUCUACAAGGGCAAGUUCACAGCACUGCAUAUCAGCAGGAACUACCACCUCUUCAAAUACGUAAUGGAGAACAUCUGAGUUAGCAACAUUCCUGAAAAAACUGACUCAGUGGUGAUUGUAGUCCACAGGUUUUGCAAGUCAACAGCACAGUUUGGACGAGAGAGUAUACACUCUCCCAAUGCAGAAAUUAGACUGCCUGUAAAACUAAGGUGAGAUAGUCUUUCCUCCUCAUGGUUCAGUACAGCAAGGUUUCCAUGGUACUGCUGUGUUUUAGUUACCAUGGAUAAAGGAAAAAUCACUUGGAGAGGAUCAAGUAAACACCAAUUUGGUCAGAGAUCUAGGAUAAAAGUUCUUUAGAGGAAAGAUAGAAAAGGUUAACAUGUUUUUCUAGCCGAGAGAAAGCAUGCCUCCAAUAGAAAAAGUUGCAAAAGCAAAAGUAUGUUCUCCCAUACAGGUAUCAAAUACAUCAGAAAACAGUGAGCUGAACUUGUAAAAAGGGAUCUUUAAUAGUUAAGGUUUCUCCUUAAGGAUAAGGAAGUACUGUGCUGUGGAGCACUGGUGGCUUGACGUAGCUGUGGAGAACAGGUUAGUCAGAUGUUCUGGAAGGACAUAUGUAAUUAAACCUGCUGUAGACUAGAGGCCAACAUCAGGUUUUUUCACAUCUUCUAGUCUGUGACAGUGACUAGUCACACGGAAAACUUCAAGAAAAGGUUCAAAUUGAUUUGCAGGCCUCAAUGCAGGAAAAUAGUUUGGGAUGUAGUUCAGGACAGUAGCAACUGACAGAUGCUUGAAAAAUGAGCCUAGAUUUUAGGUAAGAUUAUGUUAUUUCAAACCUUUUUUGUUCUUUUCUCAUGUAAAAUGGGCAGUUUAUGUAUUUUAAUGAUUUUCAGGCUGGCCCCAAGUACUCAAGUGGAGUUGUGUUGCUGGAUGUCAAAACUUAACUGGACAUCCUGAAUAAAUGUGCAGAGGGAAGAAAUAUUGUGCUGUGAAUGUUAGAGUACACAAAACUGUUUAAUUCAGCGUUGCCAGAUUGGCAUGGAUAGCCUUUUUGUGUAGCAGUUGUUCCUUUUAAAAAUAGCAUGCUUCGUCUUAGCAGUAAGUGAGAAACAAAUAGCUCUUAAUUUGUCAUGGAACUGUUUACUUUAGAUCAGUCGUCCAUGUGCAGAUGAUUCCAUUAUUUAUUUCAGAAUCUUGGAGGGCAAGAUUUUAUUAAAUUUUGGAACUGUAUCUCUUUGUCUUUUGGAGCACAAACAAUGGGAAUGGAAACUUUCUUAAACCCUAUUUAUGAACUUCACUAUUUUCUGUGUUUAAUUCAUCUCCCUAAAAAUUUGAGUGUUUGUUCUAUCUGCAGAUGAACAGAUGUGUACUGCUUCCUUGGAAAGCAACAGGAUUUUGCUGCUCUUGCCUGUGUGUACUUCUCUCAAGAUAAUCUUUCCUUGGCAGAUCAAUAUCCAUUUCAUCAGAUUUUUCUUCUUAUAGAGAGAGUAUGUAUGUACGAAAACGAAAAUACUACUGAAAACAACCAUAGAGAAUGCAAACAAUGUGAAUGUAAAGCUGACACUGCAAGGGUGCUGUUUUUCUCUGCCAACAUCAAGCCACAGAAUUUUGGUAUUCAGACUACUUAUUAGAAGGAAAAGUGGCCUGUACUUGGCCUCCUAAAGAAUUAAGGGACAGAACUGAGAACAAAUAUAAUCCUCUAAGAUGAACUGAAUGCAAAAAUUUUGGCAGAUAAAAGAAAUCAACAGUAGAGAAUGCAGAUGAAGUGAGUUUUGUGUGCAUGCAUGCUUAAAAGAUAAAAAAUUAACUUGCAUGAGUAGACCUUUAAGUGGAAUAGAUCUAAAGAAUUCAAGAGAUCAGCACAAGUGAAGCUGCAUCUUACAACUCUGAUUUGCAGCCCUUCUGCCUUUUCUGAGUUAGAUAAAAAAAUCAUUUCCAUAAGAAAUUAACCGAAGAGAUGCUUUUAUCAUCACAAAUUAUGCAAUGUUUUGGAAUAUUCAUACUGCUACGUAAUGUUUUUUAAGACUUUGUGCAACUGACUUUUAGAUUUUAUCUAAAAUCUUUUCAAAAUCCCUGGCUCCAAGGGUGAUGUCACUGACAGGAAUUUUGUUUGGUUGGCUGGAGUUUUUUGAUCCUAUGGUGUUCUACAUGACACCGGCCUACUGGCACCUGACAGGAUGCACAUGUCUCAUAGAGGGAAAGGGAUUUUUGCCCAAGAGUUAGCAAGGCUGACUGAUAGAGCUUUAAAUUAAAUUUGAAGGGGAAAGAGAUAAUAUUAGGUUAAGGGACCAGUAAAUAAAGCGGAUAUUGUUGUGGGGUAGGUGCCAUAGGCCAUCUAGACAGAAUGAUGACACAGAUCAAUUAUUUCUUUAGGAAUUCUAGAUCGGUUGCCUUUGUCAUUUUGGGGUGAGUUCAGCUUGCUUGAUGUUAACUGAGAACACCACACAGCUGACAGGAAGAGUUCCAAGAGAUUCCUAAAACAUCCCGAUGAUAACUUCUUCAUAUAGGUACUAAGGGAGCUGACUAGGAAAGGUGCCCUUCUAGAUUUUUUAUUUGUUAAACAGAGAGGAUCUUGCGGUUGUAGUGGUGAUUGGAGGCCAAGAUGGCCAAUGAAGUAUUCAAGUUUAAAAUCUUUGGCAGCAGAAGGAAAUCUGCCACCAAAAUGUCAACCCUGGAUAUGGGGAGGGCUGACUUCAAGAUGCUCAGAGAGUUAGUUAACAAGAUCCCCUGGGAAACUGCUUUUGAAGGCAUUGGGGUCCGUCUGUGCUGGUCGCUUCUUAAUCACCACUUCUUAAAAGCACAGGAAGAGGAAGUCAAGGAAGUGGGACAGAGAGCUGGCUUGGCUGAGCAGGGUUCUUCUUCUAGAGCUUGGGUGGUAAAAAAGAAAGUGUGUGGCCUCUGUAAAUGAGAAUGGGUGACAUGGGAGGACUACAGAGAUGCUAUUUGCCAUUGCAGGGAGAAAAUUUGUGUGACCAAAGCUCAAUUGGAGUUGAAGCCAGCCAGCACUGUGAGGGACAACUUAAAAACUUUUCAAAAUAGGAGAACCAGAGAAAACGCUGGUCUUUUAUUUGAUGAGGGUUGUUACCUCACAAACAGGGACACAGAAGAAGUGAAGACAUUUAAUGUUCUUUUGACUCCAUCUUCAACACUGAUGAUGGGUCCCAGGACUCCCAGAGCCCCAGGUUGGAGGACUGUGACAGGAGAUUUAGCCUUGCUGGAGAGCCAGGACCUCAUGCAGGUCAUUUGAAUUCUUUGGAGACUUCAGGUGGAAGAAGGAGUUGGGAAUAUGAGUUGCUGCUGGUGCAGGGCAGUGGCGUGGUUCCUCCUCCUCCAUUUCAGUGAGCUGGUGUUAAGGCCUAAUGGAACAAGCUUCAGCCAGACCAUUGCAGGGAAGUGCCAAGUCAAGCACAAAACUGGGUUCAUAGUUACUGAGAUGCUUUAAGUGUGAAAGAGCAGCUUAACAUGCAACAAUCAUGACAGUGAAUGUUUCAAAUCAUUAUCCUACAGUGAGGUAUGAUCAUUGCCAACCAUAAAUUCCUCUCCCAGUAUGCUGUUCCUAUAUCCAGGUAGUAUUCAUGAUAUCAAGGUUUGGGGGCAUAUACUAACUUUUCGCCUGGUUGAUUGGUUGACACUAAUUGUGUUCAGUAUAAGUAGAUGGUAACAGUCUCCAAAAUUGUUAGUAAGGAAUGGAAAGAUUUCUUCUGCUACACUUGUGUUAUAAUUUACCAAAACAUAUUGUUCUUUUCCAGAGUAUACCAAAUAAUUUUUGAUAAUCCUGUGUGAUAUAGUCUAAUAUAUAUGAACUAGAGGGCGACCUGCUGUUAUUUCUAUGGGAUCAGCUCACUGUGCAUAGCAAGGGCUUCUUAUAUUCCUCUUCCUUUCCACUCCCAACCUACCAGUGUACUAUUUUCUACUUCAGCUGAAUCUCAGGGACUUUCUGUAAAUCUCACAUUUCUUAUCAAAAGUUCAGCCCUUGUUUUUAAAUUGUUGAAUGGCAAGGCUCUCUCUAUACCUCCUCUCUACUGUUCUGAGGCUUUUUAAUAUUUCUCUAUCCAUUUGUCCUUUUUUUUUGCCUGUUGUUUUGUGCUUUUAUACUUCUCUUUGCAUUCUCACCGACUUGAUCCUUUUUUUUUCUUUCUUCUCCCAUUUUUCCAGGAUUCUAGUGUUUUCAGAAGUAUACUAGUAAGAUGACCAAACUGAAAUGGAACAAAUUUCUUGGAAGAAAGUCAAAGAUAUUAGAGUUUGUAAUUUUGAUGAUCAUAUUCCAGUGCACUUGUGUCUCCACCCUGGCAAGUUUCUGAUUUUCUAGUGACAGAGAUAGUUUUGUUGUUUUCUUUCACUUUGAAUCUCUAGAAUUGAUUUGAGUAUGUGUGAUUUUCUUAAGCUGUUGUGUAACAUCUGAAUAGAGUAGUAUCUUCAAGUUGAGUACAAGACCUUGAAAGUUUGGUCAACAGUACCCAGAAACUGACAUGGAUAAAAUAAUUUUGUCAGUUGGAGGUAGAUCCUGAAGAGCUGGCAGUGUUUUCAUCCUGGGACUUCCAGUGAUCAGAGUGGUACACAAUACAAGUUCUGAGGAGAUGGUAGACUAUCAGUAGACAUAAAGCUUUGAACAAGAAUAACAAAAACAAAACAAAAAAAACCACAACCAAACAACAACAACAAAAAACAAAAACAAGAAAAAGCAAAACAACAAAUCCCUAAUCUCUGAUUGAUAAUUUCUGACCUAUUUUUUUGUUUUAAGUCAUGCCUGCAUCUAAGAAAAUGCAAAAUGCUGAAGUGAAAGUUAACUAAAAAAAGAUGGAUUUGCUAGAAAACUUCCGUGGAUAUUUGUAGAGUACUUUACUACACUGCAAUUACUUUAGCUAGAAAAUAUAAUGACUGCAAUUAUUUUGGGAAAACAUUUGGCAGAGAAACUUAGAUUGGAAACCCAAUGAAGUUAAUAUUGCUUUUGACAUAUGGUUAUGAUGAAGCCGUAGAUAAAACCUUACUGUACCUGGUAUGUGUAACCUCUGUGUUAUAAAUCUGAAAAACAUUUAGGCUCCUCGCUGGAACCAGAGAACUGAAACAGUGUGCGCUACUGCUGAAAACAGAAACACAGCAAGAGAAAAGUUUAACCUUAUAGCCCAUGAGAUUUCCUUUGCAUCAUGUAGUAAAUACAAAGACUGGAGCAAUAACUGGUAGAGCUGUGGGAUGGAGAAACAUUAUAAUCUGCUGCUGACAAGCAAGUGGCAAGUAAAUCUCAGAAACAACAUGAGGAGCCCUGAUUAAGCCAGACAAAAAAAGCUUAAAAAGCCUUCUAAGUAAAGUGCUGGUUUAGCUAAACAGCACCAGGGAGAAAUGAGUGACAUAUAUAAUCUAAUAAACAGAUGAUUUCUGCAUAUUCCUUGACGAGGAAUCCAUAAUAGUGUUGAGGUUGUAACAGGAAAAAUUUGCUGCUAAAAGAUAGCUUGUACAGCAAAUAUCAAACUGUAUUUCAGACAGUCCAGUAUUCACAUUUACAUUAAGCUUUCCACAUCUGUUUCAUAUCCAUUUUAUGUCAACCAUAAUUGAAAACUGUUACCAUCUGGGUUUUGGGUGGGCUACAGGGAGUUAUCAUGAAAUGAGUAAUUUCUAGUAUGAAUUAUAUAUCGUUCUAAGUCCUCUGGUGGAUUGUGGGAGCUGAAGCGAGAAGCCAAACAGACUUGUAUGGCAUUUGAAAGUAUGGAAAUAACUCUACUGAGAAUAAGAAAAACUGUCACCUUCAGUCUGGAGAAUGGUGGGCUGAGGUAUAGGACCCUUCAUAAGAAGGUAUUUUAUUAUUUCACAGAAACUGAGAAUAAGUAUCCACAUGUCAAUAGAUCUUGUACUUCGCAAAAUCUGUAAUCAGGUGAGGCUUUUUUUGUUUUCUAUCUGGUGCAAAAUCUACUUCAACGCUAACAAUUCUACAUUUAUAACCAAGAAAUUUCUAAACAACUAAAAGAACUGGAACAGAGGCUAGCCUCUGUUUUUGGGGAACUGUAGGCACAUUUACUGUGGGGAGCAAAUUCAUAACUGGACUGCCUAACAGACUGGAUACUAGGCAUGUGCAGGUUAAAAGAUAGGUACAAGUUCUUUCCUUUUACACAAUUGCUUGUUUGUCACUGAAGUCUCCAAAUUGCAAAACAAAGGUACUUUUGUGAGAGUCAUGGCUUCCAUUCAGAAAAAAAAAAAAAAAAUCAGCAUGGAUCUUUGAGUAAAAAUUCAGUUUUACAGCCUUUGGCUUGAGUGUUACAUCAGUAACUAUACACAAACUAAAUAUAUACCAUUCAUGUCAUAGAAUCAUAGAAUGGUUUGGGUUGGAAGGGACCUUUAAGAUCAUCUAGUUCCAAUCCCCCUGCUAUAGGCAGGGACACCUCCCACUAGACCAGGUUGCUCAGAGCCCCAUCCAGCCUGGCCUUGAAUGCCUCCAGGGGAAGGGGCAACCUGUGCCAGUGUCACCACCCUCCUCCGUGUUUUCAUCUUUGUUAUCUUUUCAUCUUUCAUAUCUUUGUUUUCACAAUUCACUUCUGUUUUCCAGGGAAGUUAAUAGUACUUUUGCUACUGGCACUGCUAAGGACUUCUAACUUCAAGAGUAACUGUCAAUGUCAAGAGCUUCAAUAGGUAUAGCCACGUAGCUCUACAAUAUUGACUAAGAUAAUAGAAUUUGAGACCUCCAGAGGUUCCUUCCAAUUUGUGUUGUUCUAUGGUUCAAUGACUGUUUGCAGCUGGGUAUUGGUGAGCUUCUGCUUUGGAGUACAUACUGUAUUAAUGAUUCUCUCCAAACUGAGACAAGCCAAUUUAUAUUUAAGCGUUGGUGUGAUUUUAAUCUUCUGACACGUUUGUGGCUUUAAGACUGCAUAAAAAUGAAUGGCACAAGCUGAUCCUAAGACAUACUGGGGGGGAAAAAAAGCAACCUUCCCAACACAGAAUCACCAAAUACUUUGAGUUGGACAGGACACUUUAAGGUCAUCUAGUCCAACUCCCCUGCAAUGCACAGGGACACCUACAGCUAGAGCAGGUUGCUCAGAACGUGGUCCAGCCUGAUCUCGAAUGUCUUCAAGGACAGGGCUUCCACCACAUCUAUGGGCAACCUGUUCCUGUGCACCACACUUACAUAUUUCUGUUUGGUUUCUUGGUAGAACUGGUAGUUAUAUAAAUACUUCAGGUUUCUUAUGUUCAAAUCUGCCUAUAUUUUCACACCACACUUUGAAAAAAUUCCAUGUUUUGAAGGCCUGUCCCCAAGACUUAUAAAGAUAUCAAGCCAUUUGAUGAAAUACCUGGUAAAACCAUCAAACUUCUAGGAAUUGUAUCUGUAAAACAGAACUUUCAACAAAUGGGAAGUGUUAACUAACUCCAAAAAUAUCCACACUUGUCUAAUCCUUGAAGAAUCACUCUUUUCUGGAAGGCAGAGCUGUAGUGAAGUUUCAUGGCAAAACUUCAUUACAUCAUUAGACAUUUUUGGUCUAAGAAGAGGCAUCUACAGCUGUAGUUCAUUUCAGUCCUGUAGUAUAUUUUUAUUCCACAGGCCAUGAGCUGUGGUUGUUCCUUAUUAGCCACAACCCCCAAAGCUGUGGGUAUCAGUUCACAUGGGAGAAGAGCUGUUAUCAUAAACAUUACCUACUUCAUGUCCUUUGAGCACAGCCAUCUGGGCUGGAAAGGGAACUUUCCUUCACCUGUGAGUGUUGCACAAAUUGUUCACUUCUUGAUCAUGGGUUCAUUGUGCUCUCCAGCUAUUUCAGCUUCCAAGUGAGUUACAGAAGAAUGACAAGUAGAAGAAAUCUGCAGAGAAAACAGGAAGAAAGUAUGAUUAAAGUGGUAUUGUAUGUUGUUAAAUGUCAUGCUGUUAGAUGGCUAACAUUCUGUCCUUGUUUGUUUGCAUAUGUGCACAGAUUGAGAGCUGGAGAAAGACAAUAGCUGCUUCAUCAAUUGCCAUCCUCACUACGACAUGGGAGGAAUGAGUCAGUAGAUUUGAGUCUCAGCGGUCUUUUACUCUUCUGUUGGUCAGAAAUGGUGGUGUUGGUUGUUUGGAUCUUGAAGUUAACGUCUCCGCCAAGGAUAAACACACAGUGGAUGAAAGAAAAUGGAGAACAGCUGGCAGUGACUCAACAGAGUCCCCCACCCUAUCCCUUCAGAGAAUAUUUUCUUAGGCUUUGUAACUUGGUUCUCAGUAAUGUUAAGUUCCAUUUAAGAUGGACGUAGAAAUACGUAGUAUAUAUUUUUGAAGUCAAAGCAAACAUUGAAGAACAAAUUGUGAAAUUUCAUUUGGCAGCAGGAGGUUGCAUCAUUGGCUUUCCUCUCAGCCUCAGGAGGUUUCAUAACAUCUGAAGACAUCAUCAUGAGUGUGAGAAAGCUGACAUUUAAGAGUCUAAGAAUGGGAAAAACUAUUAACCAUUAAGUGUCAGGAAUGUGUAGUGAUUGAAGUAUUCAAAGGUUGUUUAAGGAAGUCAUGAUUACAUGCAAAUAGGAAAUAAAACGUAAUAUGCAAGGUGAAAUAUGCACUCUUAGGUCCUGUAAAAUGUUUCCCCUAUGUCCACUCCCCCAUACUGGGGAGCCUCCAUAUGCUUCCAUAUUUCAAAACUUUAAGAGCUCAUGUGGUCUGGGCAUACACAAAGGCCAUACACAAGCACAAGAUGGAUGAUACAGAUGAGUUAGUAAAUGAGAAUGGGUCCUUUUUUCCUUGAGUACCAAAUGUAAAUUUAUUGCAUAAAAACUUGUCAGCCAUUUUGCUGUUCAUUGGUGUAAUAUCUAGAGGUCCUCGUGUAGAAUUUUAACAUUUGCUUCAUUUUGAUUCUCCCAAAUAAUUUUGUGCUGUCAGAGACUGCUGACGUACCACUACUGAUUCUUUUCUUUAAAUUAUUUCUGUAUAGAUUGAACAACAGUAAUCUUGCUGAUAACUUUCUCCUAUAACGAAAAAUGACUUUCUUCCCCAGAUGUAAGUCCCACUUGCCAAUACUACUGACAUCAAAUAGAGGUUGACAUGAAGCAAACUUUUCUAUUUUUUCUUUAUGUGGAUAUGUGAGUGUGUUUAUAUAUGUACAUAUGCAUAUAUGUGUGUACAUAUGCAUACCUAUUUUAAUGAGAAGUGUCAUAAUUGUCUUGGUUUGCAGUUCUAUAUUAUGAUGCUAUUUGAAAGGGUCAUGUUAUUGAAAGGGUAUAUAGGUACUAUAAACUCUAUGUGUCCAUGUUAAUGCUAAUAACAUAUAAAAAUAAAGACAGUAUAACUUAAUUUGACUGUGAAAACAUUAUACUUCUUUAUUACUAGCACUGCAGUGUGAAGAUAGUUUAUCUUUGUUCACUGACUUUGUGUGAUGUUUGGCAGUGGGGUUGCAUCUUUUUGCCAAUGUUUUUUUCUCUUAUUGUCUUUAGAAAAUUCACAUCGUUCAUGAAUUAGCUUCAGCACAGUCAUGACUGAACCCAGGAACCAGCUGAUCGUUCUCUUACAAGUCUGUGAUAUGUUCUGAAAAGGCUAUCUAACUGAGAUUAUAUUUUGCAAAAACAUUGUUUUUAUCUGUAACAAGAAGUCAAGUAAAAAAAAGGAAAGUAAUUUGACUGACUUAGCUGCUUACUGUCAUUUUAUGCAGACAUGCAAGCUCUCAGAUGUUGUUCGUUUUUCCACUCCCUUUUCUUUACUAGUAGAAGUUUGGUUUGGGAUAAGAAAAGCAAAAUCGGGAAAACUGGCCUUUUAUCCACGACUUCCAGUCAUAAGUUUCUAACCAAAGUAAGGCAUCCCUGCACAGCUCAGAUCCUCAUGCAUUGUAAUUUCAAAGUCUCAGAGUCAUGUUAUUCUUACCUAGCCUUUAGAAAUUAUUUUCUUUUAAUGAAUGAAAGGAUGUGCAAAUGCUGUGCUUAUAUUUACAAUAGGUUUGAAAUUAUUAUGAUUUGACUAAAGUUCCAGCAUUUUUCUUAUAAAUACCUAUUUCAUACAAAAACAUUGAUCUGUGUUUUAGGACUGUGCAUUGCAAGGGAAAAGUCAUCUGAAUAACCAAAACAGUAUUAGAAAUCUUCCACAUAAAUGACUCCUUUAGCCAGCUGGUAAAAAACAACACAUUUCACUGUUUCUAAAGAGUGCUCUUUACUGAGCAUCCUGUUUUCUAAAGAUUUAUCAAAUAUAUUACUUAAUCAGGUUUAGGGAGGUCAUUAUCUUCCUCUACUCUGCCCUCGUAAGGCCCCACUUGUAGUACUGAAUCCAAGCCUGGGGGCCCUAACACAAGAAAUAUGUGGAACUGUUGGAGUAGGCCCAGAAGAGGGCUACAAAGCUGAUCGGGGGCUGAAACACCUCUCCCAUGAAGAUAAGUUGAAGGAGCUGGACUUGUCUAGCUUGGAGAAGAGAAGACUCCGGGGUGACCUCAUUGUGGCCUUCCAGUAAUCAAGGGGAACUUAUAAACAGGAGAGGGACCAACUUUUUACAUAGCCAGAUAGGGAGAGGACAAGGAAGAAUGGCCACAAAGUAAAAGAGGGGAGAUUUAAGUUAGAAUGUAGGCAUAAUUUUUUUUACUCAGAGGGUGGUGAGGCCCUGGUGCAGGCUUCCCAGAGACGCUGCGGAUGCCCCAUCCCUGAAGGCAUUCAGGGCCAGGCUGGAUGGGCCCUGAGCUGCCUGAUCUGGUGGGUGGCAACCCUGACCAUGGCAGGAGGGUGGGAUUGGGUGGGCGUUAAAGUCCCUUCCAACCUAAGCAAUUUUAUGAUUCUGUGGAUAUCGUCCAAUUAAUUACAGCACAAUUGCUUACAUAUGUUGCAUGAAGGCAAACAUUUAUAUACAGCCAAGAUCGAGGAAUGUAAGUGGUGUAAUGUAUGGCUUUUUACUUUUCAUUCGCUUACUCAUUGAUGUGUGUUUGCUCCUAGCUGGAUCCCUCUGACUUGCAGAGGUGGGGACUCAUUAUUUCUGCUAUGGAAGACCACUGUAGAGAACAGAAUUACGACGGGAUACAGGGUGAUGAUUCACUGGAUGCUCGCUCCCUUCUGAGUAAUGAUUGAAUCAUAGCCGAUGCUGAGGAUGGAAAAGACAGCUUGACAGAAAAAAAACUAUGGCUAUUUUUAGUGCUGUCCUUAUAUCUUGGUCAAAAUUUCCUCUUCCUGAGACUUUCUAAGUUGCGUAAUGUCUUCAGUCUGCAUUAGUAGGGCUGAAGGUAGAAUUAGGGUGUUUUGCUGUACUGUGGCUCAGUGUUUAUGUCAGUUACUACAGAAAAGCUAUAACUGAUUUAUGUUAAAGUCAAUUUUAACUGAAAUGAACUGACCUCUGAGGAUUUGCAGAUGUAUACAUGUUCCUAAAUCAAGAGGGUAUCUUCUGGGAGAGGACAGGUGUCCUCCUGAGCAAAACCCAUAAACAGUAAGUGAACUGUUGUGGGGAUUUUCCUCAAUGCCUUUCCCUACUGUAUCCAGUCCUGGUACAUUACUCAACAGAGAGCUGACUAUACCUGUUUAUGAUAUUUCCAUUUCAUGCCUAAAAUACAAGAUUUUGAAAUUAUAUUUGGAAGUUUUUUGAAAUUUUGGAAUUUCAGGUAAUUCCCCCUUAUUUAUGUUUUUCACAUUUCUUAAUGCAGUAAGGUGUUGCGAUAGUAAUGACAGAUGGAUCUAAUAAAGGAGGAAUUAUUUCAUGCUAGCCAAGAUAGCCUAUGAUUGAGGAUUGUUAAUGGUUCUUGUUCAAUUUUCCUAACAAAAAGAUGUGCUAGAUUUAAUGAGGUGCAGUUUUAUUAGAUGUACCAUUAAGAUCGCCAAAUAUUAAAAAUCAGUAUUUCUGGUUUAUUUUAGGAUUUCUCCAUUUUGAUUCAUAUGUCUUUGGGGUAUGAUUUAUAUAUAUUGUUCUCAGUUCUUAAGGCCUCCUAAAUAUGGUUCAUUAUCUAUGGAAAUUAAUCAAGCGAAAUUACUCAGCAUAUAUGGGUCUAUGCAAUUACUACCUGUUAUUAAUAUGCACAUUUUAGAUACAUUUUUUUUUCACCUUUUUCUGUUGUUGGGGAAUUUGCUCUUAGGGAGCUAUUUCAAGCUAUUCAAAAGCUAUUCACUAUUUAAAACAUAAACUGAAGAGGUUUUUUUUUUCUUUUCUCUUUCCCCCCUUUUUUUUUUCCUGAAUUCCCGUAAUUUCUGUUUGCAGUUUAUAGAAUUUAACUUCACUAAACAAGCUUCUAUGUUUCCUAUAAAAUUUUAAACUAAUCUUUGUGGCAAAUGGACAGUCCCAGUACUGCAUGAUGGGAGGGGAAAUAAAGUUAUGGUCAUCUAAGUAAAGUUAGUGUCUGAAGCUUUUUGCAAAGUCAUAUAAAACCACAUAUUACUAUAGUAGAUAUUUUUCCCCAAGUGUUAGAAAACUGUCUCUUACAAUUUUCCUUGUAUUGUUUUUACAGUUUUCUUUAAUGACCAGAUUUUCCCCAUUUGCUGAGUAGGACAGAAGUGAACUAACCUGUGGCUGAUUUACUUUCUUGUUUGUGCAUUGAGGAGGUCAGCUUUAAGGGCAGCUGAGAGAGGAAGCCACCUUAGCAGUAUGAGUGGAAGGCAAGAAGGAUGUAAAUAUGAAAUACUUACCACUGCUAGCAAUAAUAAAAUCAAGAAGGAGGAAGAACUGAAUUCUUUUUGUCUUUU